rnacentral:tRNA from 1 species
GGAUUGUAGCUCAGUGGUAGAGCACUUGCUUAGCAUGUGUGAGGCACUGGGUUCAAUCCCCAGCAUCA